CCUACGGGAGGCAGCAGUGAGGAAUAUUGGACAAUGGGCGAGAGCCUGAUCCAGCCAUGCCGCGUGCAGGAAGACUGCCCUAUGGGUUGUAAACUGCUUUUAUACAGGAAGAAACACCCCGACGUGUCGGGGCUUGACGGUAC
rnacentral:rRNA from 1 species